CUCCUGAUCUCACGUGAUCCACCUGCCUCGGCCUCCCAAAGAGUGUUUUUACAGGCUCCAUUCCUUAUUCCUGGAGUCAUCUUAGGGAAAUUUUCUGACAUUUUAUUGCCUUAGAACUCUCAUCUGUAAAGUAGAGAGAAAGAUGCCUCACUUGCUUGCUGAGGACUAAUGAGAUACAAUUUUGAGAAUUCAUUUUUUUCAUCCCAAUGAUUUUCACCAACCAUGAUCAUGCUAAAUUUGUCUCACUCAAAACCAGGCAUAAUGUAAUGCUGUUAAGAACAUAUUAUUCUAAUAUUCGGUCCAGAAUUCCUCUCUGUGAACCGUUUCUGUUUAGAAUCUGUGUUCAUAAAUGCUGGGAGUGUGUCAGCUGGUGACUUCAGAGGAAAGGGGAACCACUACACAUGAGGUAAAAGGAGGAAUGUGUUGUUUUGCUACUGAGAAGGACUGGGGAGGGGAGUGGAAUAAAAGGUGGGAGCAGAGAAGAGACAGGCCAGCAAAAUCAAAAAGCAGGUGCUGCAGAGAAAGAGCCAGGAGAGAAACUUCUGGUGGUGAGUGAUAAAAAUGGACUUGGGGGACAGGACAAUAUAAUAAGUGAUGAGCUUUUGCCCCCCGUCUCUCCAGUCAUCAGGAAAGUCUAUUGUGCUUAUAAAUGCUUUGUUUCAAUUUUCAGCAAACACAGUAAAGGAGCUGUUUUAUAUCUGGUAGCACCUCAUGUUGACCCCAAUAUAAACGAGAAACAAGAGCCCAAGAAGCAGAGGAAGUUAGGAGAUAGUAAGCUGUCCAGAAAUUAGCCAACGACUGUGGAAUGGCUCUAGACUUCUGUAGCAAAUGGAAAUAUGAGUCUUGGCAGCUCUUUGGGGGAUGGAAGAAGACCAUGAAGCUCUAAGUGCUUCAGAGGAAUGGGGUUGCCAAAACAGAUGUGAGAGGCCCAGAGAGGAGGCUGGGCCAAUGCUGAAGGGUAUUAUUUUGGGGCUGAGUGCAGAAAUAAGAGAUGCGUGCUAAAAGGUCAUCGGUUUAGAACCAGCCCUAGAUCUCCUGGGAUCCUGCCCAGCUGAAUCUUCCUCCUUGUAACAUGGGCUUUGGGAAUUUGUGAGAGAUUUAAAUAAAGAUUUACUAAAGCAAUGUCUUCAAAGAGGUGUUUAAGAAGGAGAGGUUGGUCGGAACCAGAAAAUGCAUUCCUGGGAUGAUCUUUGGGAUACACCCAACUGACCCUCUGAAAAGUACCCUAAGGAUGGAGCUGUCCAUGACUGUCAGCUGACAGUCACAUUAUUGCCUUGUAAGUUGCUCUCUUGCCUGCUGCCAUGUGAGACGUG
rnacentral:lncRNA from 1 species